CACUGUCUACCUGUGUAUCAAAAAGACCAGCGGGCUGUGCCCUCCAUACUGUAUAAAAUAGUUGCUAUUCUCAGCACCUGGGCCUGGCAGCCCACCACAGGACUCACUAUAUACAUAUCCGGCUGCCAUGAAAAGAAUCCUGCUUCAUUUCUGUGUGAGCGGAAACCCUGAGAAACGUUCCUUCUCUUGCACUUUAAGAGGACAGAUACUCUAACAGAGAUGAUUUCAGAGACUUCAUGCCUAGCUCAACCUUGGAAGACAGGGCAGACUGACGAUCACCAUCUUCAGGCUGAGGCCUGCAACCCCAUCCUCCUCCAAGACUUGAUGGGAAUUCAUUAAUGGGUACAGAGAGGGUGCAAGCUAUUCUGCUGUGUGAACAAGCACAGCCCCUGCCUCCUUAGCCUGGGGGUCCUAUAUAAUACACCCACCAAUGGGUGGUCUCCAGGCCUCAGCCAAACAGCACGAAGGCACAGGGAAGUGGAGACAAUGCCGCUCUGGCCUCCCAGCCCACCAGACCAGAUAUCCCAGGAGGGAAAGGUUGGUAAAGAAAAUACAAACGGUUAGUUGGUGCAAGUGAUUGAUAAGAGCCAAUCGUUUAUUUCACUGCCCCAGUCACAAGCUCUCCCUCUGUCCCACUCCUGCCUGCUACGGAGAGUGCCCUCACGUGCUCGCUCCCCCUCCUCCACACGCCUCCUCACUCUCCCUGGCAUGGCUGCGCUCCUGCUCCCC